rnacentral:rRNA from 1 species
AUGGCGCCGAAGGCUGCCGAGAAGAAGCCGGUGGAGAAGACCCCCGCGGUCAAGAAGCCCAAGGCGGAGAAGAAGGUGCCGACGUCCAAGGAGGGCGGCGAGAAGAAGGGGAAGAAGAAGUCCAAGAAGAGCAUGGAGACGUACAAGAUCUACAUCUUCAAGGUGCUGAAGCAGGUGCACCCGGACAUCGGCAUCUCCUCCAAGGCCAUGUCCAUCACGAACUCCUUCAUCAACGACAUCUUCGAGAAGCUCGCCGGCGAGUCCGCCAAGCUGGCGCGGUACAACAAGAAGCCCACCAUCACAUCCCGGGAGAUCCAGACCUCCGUCCGCCUCGUCCUCCCAGGCGAGCUCGCCAAGCACGCCGUCUCCGAGGGCACCAAGGCCGUCACCAAGUUCACCUCCGCCUGA